GACGAACGCUGGCGGCGUGCCUAAUACAUGCAAGUUGAGCGCUGAAGGUUGGUCCUUGUCCCGACUGGCUGAGCAGCGAACGGGUGAGUAACGCGUGGGGAAUCUGCCUUUGAGCGGGGGACAACAUUUGGAAACGAAUGCUAAUACCGCAUAAAACCUUUAAACACAAGUUUUAAGUUUGAAAGAUGCAAUUGCAUCACUCAAAGAUGAUCCCGCGUUGUAUUAGCUAGUUGGUGAGGUAAAGGCUCACCAAGGCGAUGAUACAUAGCCGACCUGAGAGGGUGAUCGGCCACAUUGGGACUGAGACACGGCCCAAACUCCUACGGGAGGCAGCAGUAGGGAAUCUUCGGCAAUGGACGAAAGUCUGACCGAGCAACGCCGCGUGAGUGAAGAAGGGUUUCGGAUCGUAAAACUCUGUUGGUAGAGAAGAACGUUGGUGAGAGUGGAAAGCUCAUCAAGUGACGGUAACUACCCAGAAAGGGACGGCUAACUACGUG
rnacentral:rRNA from 1 species